UCGUGGCACCGAUGAAAUGUAAAUAGGUGAGUAAGCGAUAAAAAUAUAUAACGAAACAACGAACUGUAAAAAUGAGAACCAUCCGACUGUCCGAGCGUUGGACUUAUCAACGAUACAGUUAAGGAGGCCGACUGUCGAGAAAAAUAUAUUAUUAUCAUAAUAAUAGCUGCAAUAAAUUUGAAAUUAAAUGGUCCGAGAUAGACAGCAGUGACUAUAAUGCGCGUUAAUUAUCUAAAUCGUUUCGACUAGGUACGGCAAUCAUCGAUGUAUACGUUCGUACAACAGUCGUUAUAAUAUUGUUAUAAUUAUUAUACAUUUCGAGUUGUAGCAAUUAUUUUUUAACUAAUUAGCGGUGCUAUUAUCAUUUAUUGAUUGGUAUGUGCGUAUGAGUAUCAACACAUUUUAAAAAUAUUUAUGAUUUAGUAAGACUACUUCAAGUAUGAACCUCGAGUGUUGUGAUAUUACAAUAUAAUAUCUCGAAAUGCCAAUGUGACAUUUAAGUGUUUGAUGAGGGCGUUAUAUGGGACCGCAAUCAUUUAAGUAUAAUUUUUUUUAUUUUUCAUUCAUUUCAUCUCAGAUAGUCAAAUUACAUAAACCACAGUAGAGUGGAUGGGAACACAAAAUGAGAUAGAAGAGAGCAAAUCGGCUGAAUCGAGAGAUUCCUCAAGAAGUGAAAUUAAAAAAUAAUGAUCAGCCUCAGUACAUCCAGAGCUAUGGUAAGCAGGUGAAAUAUGGAUGAAAUAAUAUCCCGAAAACAACAAGAUAGAUAACUGAAAUCAAUACGUCAUAUGGACACUUUGUUUUAUCUAACUAUUGAAGCUUUUCGUUAACUACCAAUGUAAUAUUACUGUUUUUAGAACACGUGUUGGAAGUAUGUGGAACAUAGCUAGUAGUCACCCAUCCGAGAGUUAGCAAUAUCAGACAGUACUUGACCGUAGCAUUCUUUAAUGAUUGAGACCAAACACUACGACUUCGCUCCAUAUUCCCUCUCUC